UACGUAGGCAGCAAGCGUUGUUCGGAGUUACUGGGCGUAAAGGGCGCGUAGGCGGUUCGUACAGUCAGGCGUGAAAUUCCCGGGCUUAACCUGGGGGCUGCGUUUGAUACGUGCGGGCUUGAGUUCGGAAGAGGGUCGUGGAAUUCCCAGUGUAGAGGUGAAAUUCGUAGAUAUUGGGAAGAACACCGGUGGCGAAGGCGGCGACCUGGUCCGAUACUGACGCUGAGGCGCGAAAGCGUGGGGAGCAAACAGG
rnacentral:rRNA from 1 species